rnacentral:rRNA from 1 species
UACGUAGGGGGCAAGCGUUGUCCGGAAUUAUUGGGCGUAAAGAGCGUGUAGGCGGUCCGGUAAGUCAGCUGUGAAAGUCAAGGGCUCAACCCUUGAAAGCCGGUUGAUACUGUCGGGCUAGAGUCCGGAAGAGGCGAGUGGAAUUCCUGGUGUAGCGGUGAAAUGCGCAGAUAUCAGGAAGAACACCUAUGGCGAAGGCAGCUCUCUGGGACGGUACUGACGCUGAGACGCGAAAGCGUGGGGAGCGAACAGG